UUUGGCUAAAUUCUAUAAUCUCAAAAAUAGUGAUGGAGACAGGGUAUCCCAUAUUUCCAUACAUAAAUUUCACUUCCCUGAUCAGUGAGGGAAAAAGUUAAUUAAUGGGAUAUUCCUGUGAGGUUGCUUGGAGAUAAACUUGUCCAAAUGUUUAUAUAAAACUAAAAUUAUUUAGAUAGGCUCUUAUCUAGAGUCAUGAUUUUAUUUUCUUUCAGGAGAUAUAGAAAUAAGAGCUAGAAUUGCUUAUUGUAGCUAAUUUGUAGCUGAUUUCUGGGUUGAGAAAAAAUUGCAAUAUACUCUGCCUUUCAUUUUCUUACUUGAAUUCUCAUGUUUUUCUGAUAAUUAAUAUCUGGAAAGAAUAAUCAAGUCUUAAUAUUGGAGACAGAAACCUGUGUUCUAAUGGUGAUGUUUUUGUGUCUUUGUUUUUGUUUGUUUAUCCAUAAACUUUCCUGAGCGUUGCAAAUCUAGUUCUAAACAUCUAUAUAUUUUGACAAACAACCCAUAGGUUAUAAACCUGGAAAUAUGUAUGAAAUAAUGUAGCAAUAAAAUAAUUUGACUAGGGUCAAGGGAAUUUUGUUCUAGUCUCAGUUCUGUCUUUACCACUGUGAGAUUCUGAGUGAGUCUCAGUGAUUCUGGUUGUAUUUCCCUGAACAGAAAAUCUUAGUUAGACUGGAAAUUGAAUGAACUUUUAUGAAUGUCUAGCUUUAAAAAUCUAGAACCAACAUAGGAUGGGACUUCUUUAGUUAAUUCAAACAAAUAAAUAAACCCCAAAAGUAUUUGAGAAUAUAGAACUUGUUCAAAUUACUUUUAUGAAUUCUGAAUUUCCCUUUUAAUGUGUGCACACAUAAAUAGUGAGAUUAACCUCUCUUGGUAUUUGUACUCUUUAUAGAAAUACAUAGGAAACGUAUUGUUACUUUAAGUUCUAGGGUACAUGGGCACAAUGUGCAGGUUUGUUACAUAUGUAUACAUGUGCCAUGUUGGUGUGCUGCACCCAUUAACUCGUCAUUUACAUUAGAUAUAUCUCCUAAUGCUAUCCCUCCCCACUCCCCCAACCCCAC
rnacentral:lncRNA from 1 species